rnacentral:rRNA from 1 species
USKWCCYUGUGUAUSAUGGACUUUCAAAAUAAAUAUAAAUAUAAAACACCGAAAGCAAGAGAGCUAUUUAACCCAGACAAGAACAAUAAACAUCUUGUAACAAAAAGAAGAAAGAGGUAAAAAUAGAGACAAUAUAUCAACCGCGCUUGCCAAUAGCUGGGUGCCACCCGAAAAACAUAUAAGUGUUACUCUUCAACAUGAAGAGCAUAGUUUACUUGGGAUCAGCUAAGUAAACAAAAAGUAAUGAGAAAAAAAACCUAUAAGUUAAAUUAGGCUUAACAACAGCCAAAAAUAAAAAACCCGUAAAARGAUAAACAACAAAAAGAAAUAAUUAUAAUAGAACAUACAUAAAUAGGGGGCACUUAAAGAAAACAACAAACCUUUAAAAUAAAAUGAAAGUAUAAAUAAGAAAAAAUUCAAAAAAUAAAAAAGAACAAAAAAUAAAGAAAGGAACUCGGCAAAAAAGAGCAACGACUGUUUAACAAAAACAUAGCCUCCAGAAACCAUGAGAGGUAACGCCUGCCCAGUGACCGUAAGGUUAAACGGCCGCGUUAAGUGCUAAGGUAGCGAAAUCAAUUGUCCCCUCAUUAGGGUCCAGUAUGAAAGGCAUAACGAAGCUCAACUGUCUCUCUUUAUAAAAACAAAAUUAAUCACCAAGUGAAAAAUCUUGGAUAAAAUUGAUGGACGAGAAGACCCUAUAGAGUUUAAGCAAAAAACACAACACAAACACAAAAGAAAGAAGAAAACGUGAAAAUGAGCUUUGAUUGGGGAAUUAUAGGAAGAAUAAAAUUCUUAAAAAAGAAAUUUGACAUAACAAAAAACAAGAUCCUCAAAGAGAAAAAAGAAAAACUACCUUAGGGAUAACAGCGUAAUUUU